rnacentral:rRNA from 1 species
UACGGGGGGGCAAGCGUUGUUCGGAAUUACUGGGCGUAAAGGGCUCGUAGGUGGCCAACUAAGUCAGACGUGAAAUCCCUCGGCUUAACCGGGGAACUGCGUCUGAUACUGGAUGGCUGGAGCAUGGGAGAGGGAUGCGGAAUUCCAGGUGUAGCGGUGAAAUGCGUAGAUAUCUGGAGGAACACCGGUGGCGAAGGCAGGUCUCUGGGCCACUACUGACGCUGAGAAGCGAAAGCAUGGGGAGCGAACAGG